AAACCAUGGUUAGGGAAAUCCCUAGUGUACUCCUUCAAACGUUCCAAUGUAUCAAAGAAUGACUUCGUGGCUUCUUGCUUGAAACUUGAGAUUUUGUUCCUUAU
rfam:Arabis alpina cultivar Pajares scaff_43273_1_contig_0, whole genome shotgun sequence.